AUCCAGAUAAUGAGUCCUAAAUAGGACGAAACGUGCAUCCUGGAU
rfam:Schistosoma haematobium scaffold283_34, whole genome shotgun sequence.